GUGGGAGUCGACCCCAUAUGAAGUCAUCUCAGUCAGACCUGAACUCAAUGUCUGCAGAGUCAAGGAUUGCCUGACAGGCAGAGAGAGAGUCGUUCACCGGAAUCUACUACUCUGUGUCAGCUUUCUGCCCUGCGAGAGAGGUGUGGACAGUGGGUCAGAACACUCAGAAUGUGACGUAGCUGCGCACAGUAGUGAUGCAUGUCCUGAUGUGCCUGACGUGAUGGAGGACAGUGAUGUUCGUACAGUGAGCUGGCUGAUGCAGACAAGUGAAGAGGAAGUCCAUUCAGAAGAGGAGGAUGGCUCACUUGACCGGAGGUCUGAUGUUGCCCAGUCUGACUCUCUCUCAGUCGCCGCUUCCAGUCAGGACAGUCAACAAAUACCUGCAGAAGAUGUUGACCAUGCUGCUGUCGAUGGUGCGGAAGGCCCACCACAGUGCUCUGAAGGCAUAGUCCCUGACACAGACGUGACCCCUCCCGAAGCUGUUUGUCCAGAUGAGACCCCUUUGGACACUGACGCUGCUGACGUGUCCCCUCCUGACAAUAUCCCCACAGACAUUGCUCCUCCUGACAGUAACCCUCCAGACAUUGACUCCCCGGACACUAACGCCCCUGAGACAGCCAUUCUUGACACUGACUGUCCAGACAAUGACAUUCCAGGCCCUCUAGCUCAGGUGGUUUGCACACAGCCUGGCCGUUAUGAUCUCAGGGAUCGUAGUUCCAUGAAGCUUCCCCAACGCCUUAUUUGUCAGAUGAAUGAGCAAGUAGUAGAUGAGGAUUCUGUGUCCACAGUAUCAGUUAGUACAUUGUUUCAGUUCUUUAGAGAUGCACUUUCGGUUUGAGUAUCAGGGUUAAGCUAGUAUUUGACCAGAGAUGAGUCUAGGUAGUACUUGAGGCUACAGGGACAAUGUUUUGCAUUUCAGAGGUGUAGCAGGCAUCUCUGAGUCUGUGUUUAGUUAGGAGUUUGAUCGCCUCUUUUCUUUCCACACUCCUUUUUGGGAGAGUUUUAGAACUGACAUGCACUCUAGCUUUGUUCCUUGUAAUGCACUGUUUUUUUUUUUUUUUUUUUUUUUUUUAGGAUUGCACUCCCAUAUUUAGCAGAAUUUCAGGGGGGUGUAUGUAACGGGUAUAAGAAAUACUCUGAUUAUUUUAUUGAAAUCCCUGCAAAAAUAUGUAUAUCGCCUGUAUAUUGCCUUGUAAUGAGGGGUUCAAUUGCGCCAUCUGCUGGUACCUGGAAGUCUACAUAUAUGACCGCAACCCGAGUGCUCUUAGUAGUCUUGUAGUUCUCUGCUAGGACUAAACCAGUGGAGGUGCUAAACUACAAAUUGUGUAUAUGUGUGUCUACCACUCAUUACAGGUAAUAAUUGUGUUGUAAUUGUGUGUUUAAAGUGUCAGGACGUUUGCGUUUCGGGUUUUGUCGGCCAGCAUGUUGUCCGCCAUGUUUGAAAAAGGGACAACGUGGCCUUUGUGAUUUGAUGGUCACCACUAGUGGGUGCUGUUACAGUUUAAUCAUUUAUUUGAUGUUGCGUCUUGCAUUUAGUAUUUUUCUAUUGAUGAUUUCAUAAAUAUAUAAAAAAGAAUGAUGUUUGUUAAAAAACUCAUUCAGAAUAUAUUGGAUUGAAUUCAUUGUAAAAGCAGUAACGUUAAAACCCAGUUAAAACCACUAUACGAUCACAUGUUAAAAAGUAUUCUGUUAAAAACCAUUUUAAGUCACAUCUUAAAAUGUAUUUGUCAUGUAUGUCAUGUAAUUGUAAAAAGAUGUAAUGUACUUUAGUAGUCUUGUAGUUCUCUGCUAGGACUAAACCAGUGGAGGUGCUAAACUACAAAUUGUGUAUAUGUGUGUCUACCACUCAUUACAGCUCAGCUAUAAAGGAUCACAUCAUCCUA